AGUCCACGCCCUAAACGAUGUCUACUAGUUGUCGGGUUUUAAUUAACUUGGUAACGCAGCUAACGCGUGAAGUAGACCGCCUGGGGAGUACGGUCGCAAGAUUAAAACUCAAAGGAAUUGACGGGGACCCGCACAAGCGGUGGAUGAUGUGGAUUAAUUCGAUGCAACGCGAAAAACCUUACCUACCCUUGACAUGGAAGGAAUCCCCGAGAGAUUGGGGAGUGCUCGAAAGAGAACCUUUACACAGGUGCUGCAUGGCUGUCGUCAGCUCGUGUCGUGAGAUGUUGGGUUAAGUCCCGCAACGAGCGCAACCCUUGUCAUUAGUUGCUACGAAAGAGCACUCUAAUGAGACUGCCGGUGACAAACCGGAGGAAGGUGGGGAUGACGUCAAGUCCUCAUGGCCCUUAUGGGUAGGGCUUCACACGUCAUACAAUGGUACAUACAGAGGGCCGCCAACCCGCGAGGGGGAGCUAAUCCCAGAAAGUGUAUCGUAGUCCGGAUUGUAGUCUGCAACUCGACUACAUGAAGUUGGAAUCGCUAGUAAUCGCGGAUCAGCAUGUCGCGGUGAUACGUUCCCGGUCUUGCACACACCGCC
rnacentral:rRNA from 1 species